GAUGAAGAACGCAGUGAAAUGCGAUAAGUAAUGUGAAUUGCAGAAUUCAGUGAAUCAUCGAAUCUUUGAACGCACCUUGCGCUCCUUGGUAUUCCGAGGAGCAUGCCUGUUUGAGUGUCAUUAAAUUCUCAACCUCACCCGUUUUCUGAACGGGUCGAGGCUUGGAUGUGGGGGUUUGUGCAGGCUGCCUCACUGGCGGUCUGCUCCCUUGAAAUGCAUUAGCGAGGUUCAUGCUGAACUUCCGUCUAUUGGUGUGAUGAUUAUCUACGCCGUGGACGAGGAUCAGACUCGCUUCUAACUGUCCGCGAGGACAAUACCUUGACAAUUUGACCUCAAAUCAGGUAGGACUACCCGCUGAACUUAAGCAUAUCAAUAAGCGGAGGA
rnacentral:misc_RNA from 1 species